rnacentral:rRNA from 1 species
AUGCAUCGAUUGAUGCAGAGGCCGGGGGUACUCCUUCUUUUCCAAAAAAAGUGCAUAUACCUAGCCUGCCUCAACUGGUUUGGUUGUCACCACCAAAAUUCUUUUGGAUAUAGGCUGCAACUCAAUUUACUUGAUUCCAAACUAUGCAAGCUAAUUUUUCACUUGCACAAAUAUCUAUGGAUUUCCUUUUCCAAAAAAUAUAUUAUCGAUGGAUUUAUUUGUAGCCUUCUUUUUGUGCCUACCGUAUACGCUUGUUCAUUUGCAAGUCAGAUGCAAGUUUCGGAUCAUCAGCAUUUUACACUUCAGUCAGUUGGUGUUUCGUUAUUCAGGGUAUCAUUGUUGAUAUGGUUUUUGUUUCUAUCUGCUAAUUCUGCAACCCGGAUGACUAAUUAA